AGGAUUAAAAUCCUUCCACAUUUAGAUCCAAAUCCAAAAUAUAUCCCAAAAAAAUUCAAAAGUAAAAAAAAGGUUAAAUUUCCCUGCAAAACUUUUAAGGCAAAUUAGAAAACCUACCAUCAAAUUUCCUUACUCAUCGCCUCCCCUCUCUUCUUUAUCUCAUUUUCUUGUUUAAGUUAAAACUUUUUUAUGUAGAAUGUUUUGCUGAUUAACUUUUUUCUUUUUGUCGCUAGGUUUUUUAUAUUCAAGAUUGUGAAGAUUUAAAGAAUGAAUAGUGUUGAGAGGAGUCAUAAUUCGCUGACCGCAAGAAAUGUCACAAUUGAGAAUUAUGAAGAAAGACGGGAAAAGUGCAAAAGAGAUCUUGCAUUAUGCAAUAAGGUUCUUAUAUCAUCAAGCAACACUGCCAGUCCGGCGCUAUGCUUUCAAUUUCGCGGUAAGAUCCGGCGGUGUUGAAAAAUGUGGCGCUAUUAUUGGUGGCGCAACUCAUUGGAAAGAAUUGUUUUCAUGUCGGAGAACUUGAAUAGUUUGCUUUACUGUUGAAGUGGAGAUGGAGAAGAGGCUGCAAUUGGACGAUUUUGAUUUCUCUGAGUUACAAUUUCCUGCUUUAAGAUAGGAUUAUAUUUCUCACAGGUUAUAGUCUUACGCGUUUUUUGAUUUGCUUUUCAAAUUGUAAUUAAACAUUCAUCUUGUAUGUUGAUUCAAAAAUUGUGUUACGUAGUUAGAUUUGUACUUUUACCUUACAAGUACUAAUGAAAUUAAGAUUCGUUCAUCCUUCCACCACCGUAGCUUCUCUUUCCUGCUUCAAGGAAACAUUUGAGCCCUUCGUUUGUCAAAUAUUUGAAGUUUAUCUUUUAAGCGUACUUUGUGUUAGCCCUUAAUAUGCAUUACUUUCAAUUUGCGUUGGUGACAUUAUUUUUCAAAUAAUAUAUCUAUCUUUAUAAAUGUUGUGUUUGCAAUUGAUAGGUUUCAUUGUGAAGUAUAACAGAUAUGGAAAAAAAUAAAGAAUGAAGCCCUAAAGUUUUAUAAUCUUAGGGUUCUUAUUGUCUUGUUUCCAAGUGAUUAUAAUGUUAUUGUAUCAUUUAUAAUUGCUUUGAUUUAGUAAUUUAGAGAUUUUGUUUGCUUCCAAGUGAUUAUUUUGAUAAUGUAUUAGCUCAACUCUUGUCAAAACUAUAAUGGUCAAGAAAAGAUGGUGAGACAUCUGAUUGUUAAAAAUGUACGACUUCCUUGUCUUUUUUGCGUACGCAAAGGAAAAGCCAAGUAGAAAACAUCAACAAAUCUUGCUGGGAAUAGACAUUGAUAAAAGCAACCUGAGACUCCAGGAGCAGAAUACGAAAGGUGGCUAUUGGAAGCAAAGCAUUUCUCCAUGCCAUUAUUAGCCAACAGUGGCAACAACUAAAACAGUGUGUUGUUGAAAGGUUGUUUCGUAUUGCUUCCUCAUGUGUUCGACAAUCACGUCGAUUAUGUAAAUGCUACUGUCAUUUGUGUAUUAAAUAGCAUAUAAAGGUGAGCACAUUGUUCAAUUUUCUUUUCCUUUUUAUGUUCAUGUAAAUUCUUACGCCUCCUACCUACUCGAAAGUGUUUAACUAGUGCUGUACUUUCUUGCAGAAAGGUAGGUUACAAGAGAAGCUGCAUUUAGGACUAUUUUUUGGUUUGUGUAAGUCACUAAAGUAUGCAAAACAUGUCAUGUUAUGAGAACAUUAACAGUUUUAGUAGUUAUCAUGUUAAUUACAUCUCGUUUCAAUCCCAAACAUGAAAUAAUAGGCUAUGUGAAUCCUUAUUUCUUCAUUUAAGUUCAUAUUAACAAUGUUUUAUUACUCAUAAUUUUUACAUUCUCUGUUGUUGUUCUAUGAGGAGAAGCGAUAGAUAAGUACAUAAUCAAGUAAGUUACAUGCUUUAACAAUUUACAAAGCAGUAAUAAAUUUUCUGUGUUACCUAAGGAGUUUUUUGUGGUUUAGUGAAGUUCAUAUAUUCUACAACCCGCUAGAUUUCUAAGCUAAUAUGAAAUUUCUAUCUGAGGCCAAGAUUAAUAUAGUUAGCCUCCAUUCUGUUGCCAAAUUUUAAAUUCCUCUCUGACUGUGACAUUUUAGUAUCAACAGCCUUUCAGAAGCUACUUUUAAGUUGUUUUCUUUUGCUUGUUGUUAUUGUUUUCUUUUCUUUUUUUGUCUAAUGCAGGCUAUGUUACGUAAUGAUGCCAAUCCACAGCUUUCUUGUGCAAUUGAUACUUGGAGUCUAGGUUGUACUGUUUAAAUGUUUACUGGACAAUCCUCUUGAAGUUGAUUAGACGGGCUAAGCCGCGUUAACAAACUUUGAGCCUAUUAGUUUGUCACAUAGUAGUAUCAUAUCCAAAGAAGCUAUAUUCCUCGGAAUCUCCAAAAAUGCUAAUGCACUAUAUUUGAAGGAUUCGAAAUUCAACCCCGCACUAUUUUUGAAGAGUCCGAAAAUUAUAGCUGAGAAUGAACAAGCAAAAAAAUCAUGGCCAAUAUUUUUUUUUUGAUUCCAAAUUUGAUGUAUAAACAAUCGUGUAUUUCAUUUUUUAGGUGAAAGCAAUUAUCACCUGUACUAGAAACGUCAUUUCCGGAAGGAAAGAUUUUUAUCCGUUGCUAUUUUCAGAGGAAAUAUGCAGAUAGUCCUACAUUUUUUAUGCUUCUUGAGCAUCCUUUCUUAAGUAAUACUAAUUUGCGUGAACAUAGUGCUACUGUUUCAGGUUCCUCAGAAGAUUUUUUGCGGAUGAAAUGAGAACUGUGGGUUUUAACAUAUCGAACAAGAAUGUACUUUUAAGAAAGUGUAUUUUUUAAUGUGUAGCCUUCCCUACUCAACUGACUCUGUGGCACAGGUAAACAUUCCAAUGUCCGUAAAGUUACAGUGGAGUGACAGUCGGAGCAUGUGGUCUUAUUAGUUUAGAGCCAACAGAGGUAAACAGUUGUGGAAUGUUAGUUAAGAUUAUUACUACUGCUCCGUUGCUAGUUUUUUUCCUUUUAUGAUUGUAGAUGAUUUUUGUUUUUUCAUUGAUAUAUAUUAUUUUAUGAGAUCUGUACGUUGUUUGAUUUACAUAAUUUAAAACAAAUGAAUAUAUGAUAUACUAAUAUUAUAUGAAAUGCAUAAUAAUGAGGUUUAUGGGCUAAUUUUGUUUGUUUCUAUGUGAAUGUACCACCAAAUGAUGAUUUUUAGCAUAAGAGUCAUAUUUAGUACAUGUGUUUCACAUAUAUUGAUGAUUUUAGGUUCGGGACAUUGAGGAAGUUCCUGGUCAUUGAAGCAGAAGACUUGGCUCUUUCCUAAGUUGAUUGGUGAGUCCUCAUGAGUUCCGAGGAUAUAAACACUUGUCAAGCCUUAUUGGUUUUGUCUAUGUUUUGAGAUAAUUAUUCCAUUCUGAUAUUGAGACUUCAUUGUAUCCUAUAUGAGCAUAUUGUAAUAGACUAAGGAAUAUGCCCAAACUAUUAUGAUUCAUUCUUUAGAUGGUUAAA